rnacentral:lncRNA from 1 species
UAUUGGUGACGUUAUUGUUGCUGUGAUCAAAGAAGCCGUACCAAAUAUGCUCCUAGAGAGAUCAGAAGUAGUCAGAGCUGUAAUUGUGCGGACCUGUAAAGAACUCAAACGUGACAACGGGAUGAUAAUAAGAUAUGAUGACAAUGCUGCAGUUCCUGUAAAGAACUCAAACGUGACAACGGGAUGAUAAUAUGAUAUGAUGACAAUGUUGCAGUUGUUAUUGAUCAAGAAGGAAAUCAAAAGGAACUCGAAUUUUUGGUGCAAUCGCCCGGGAAUUGAGAGAAUUAAAUUUUACUAAAAUAGUUUCAUUAGCUUCCGAGGUAUUAUAAAAUGAAAUUGUGAGCUGUUUCUAGUGGGGUAUUUGAAAGAAAUAGGUUAAUUAGUAGAUU